rnacentral:rRNA from 1 species
GACUACAGGGGUAUCUAAUCCCUUUCGCUCCCCUAGCUUUCGUCCCUGAGUGUCAGUACAGGUCCAGUAGAGCGCCUUCGCCACUGGUGUUCUUCCCAAUCUCUACGCAUUUCACCGCUACACUGGGAAUUCCCUCUACCCCUACCGUACUCUAGUUCAUCAGUUUCCACUGCCGCUCCAGGGUUAAGCCCUAGUCUUUGACAGCAGACUUGAUGUACCACCUGCGGACGCUUUACGCCCAAUAAUUCCGGAUGACGCUUGCAUCCUCCGUAUUACCGCGGCUGCUGGCACGGAGUUAGCCGAUGCUGAUUCCUCAAGUACCGUCAGUGCUUCUUCCUUGAGAAAAGAGGUUUACAACCCAAAAGCCUUCCUCCCUCACGCGGUAUUGCUCCGUCAGGCUUGCGCCCAUUGCGGAAAAUUCCCCACUGCUGCCUCCCGUAGGAGUCUGGGCCGUGUCUCAGUCCCAGCGUGGCUGCUCAUCCUCUCAGACCAGCUACCGAUCGUUGCCUUGGUGCGCUUUUACCACCCCAACUAGCUAAUCGGACGCGAGCUCCUCUCCAGGCGAAAAACUUUCACCUUGCGGCACAUUGGGUAUUAGCAGUCAUUUCUAACUGUUGUCCCCAUCCUGAAGGCAGAUUCUCACGCGUUACUCACCCGUCCG